rnacentral:rRNA from 1 species
GUGCCAGCAGCCGCGGUAACACGUAGGAUCCGAGCGUUAUCCGAAUUUACUGGGCGUAAAGCGCUUGCAGGCGGUUUGAUAAGUUGGAUGUGAAAGCUCCCGGCUCAACUGGGAGAGGUCGUUCAAAACUAUCAGACUGGAGGGUGGUAGAGGGAGGUGGAAUUCCCGGUGUAGUAGUGAAAUGCGUAGAUAUCGGGAGGAAUACCAGAGGCGAAGGCGGCCUCCUAGGCCAUACCUGACGCUAAGAAGCGAAAGCUAGGGGAGCGAACGGGAUUAGAUACCCCCGUAGUCC